GCAGUCGCCGCGGUAAUACAGAGGGUGCGAGCGUUAAUCGGAUUUACUGGGCGUAAAGCGUGCGUAGGCGGCUUUUUAAGUCGGAUGUGAAAUCCCUGAGCUUAACUUAGGAAUUGCAUUCGAUACUGGGAAGCUAGAGUAUGGGAGAGGAUGGUAGAAUUCCAGGUGUAGCGGUGAAAUGCGUAGAGAUCUGGAGGAAUACCGAUGGCGAAGGCAGCCAUCUGGCCUAAUACUGACGCUGAGGUACGAAAGCAUGGGGUGCAAACAGGAUUAGAUACCCCUGUAGUCCCUGUCUCUUAUAC
rnacentral:rRNA from 1 species